GACGAACGCUGGCGGCGUGCCUAAUACAUGCAAGUAGAACGCAGUUGCGAACGGGUGAGUAACGCGUAGGUAACUGCCUCCUUGCGGGGGAUAACUAUUGGAAACGAUAGCUAAUACCGCAUACUGUGAGAUGGACCUGCGUUGUAUUAGCUUGUUGGUGGGGUAAAGGCCCACCACGGCGACGAUACAUAGCCGACCUGAGAGGGUGAGCGGCCACACUGGGACUGAGACACGGCCCAGACUCCUACGGGAGGCAGCAGUAGGGAAUAUUCGGCAAUGGACGAAAGUCUGACGGAGCAACGCCGCGUGAGUGAAGAAGGUUUUCGGAUCGUAAAACUCUGUUGUUAGAGAAGCGGUAUCUAACGAGAAAGCCACGGCUAACUACGUGCCAGCCGCCGCGGUAAUUC
rnacentral:rRNA from 1 species